UUACAAGCAGUGUUUGGGCACGAAGAAUUUUGAUUUCUUAAGAGAGGCUUACCUCCUAG
rnacentral:tRNA from 1 species